GAUGAACGCUGGCGGCGUGCCUAAUACAUGCAAGUCGAGCGAACGGACGAGAAGCUUGCUUCUCUGACGUUAGCGGCGGACGGGUGAGUAACACGUGGAAAACCUACCUAUAAUACUGGUAUAACUUCGGGAAACCGGAGCUAAUACCGGAUAAUAUCUUGAACCGCAGGGUUAAAUAGUGAAAGACGGUCUUGCUGUCAGUUAUAGAUGGAUACGAGCUGGAUUAGCUAGUUGGGAAGGUAACGGCUUACUAAGGCAACGAUGCAUAGCCGACCUGAGCGAGGGAUCGCCCACGUGAGAGCUGAGACGCGAUCCAGGCGACUACGAGAGGCAGCAGUAGCGUAUCGUCCGCAAUGGGCGAGAGCCUUGCAGAGCAACGCGACGUCAGUGAUAAAGGUCUUCGGAUCGUAAAACCCUCUUAUUAGGGAAGAACAGAUGUGUAAGUAACUGUGCACUGCGUGACGGUACCUAAUCAGAAAGCCCCGGCUAACUACGUG
rnacentral:rRNA from 1 species